CAUGUGCAUUGCAUACUGUUUUUAAUUAAACAAUUAAUUAUCUUUUUGAAAGUAUUCUUAUGCUUCUUCUGAUUAAAAGCAAUUUGUGGAGUCAAGGUUCAAGACUGAUUUUUCAACACUCCCUUAAGGACACAUUGGGCAACAUGAGGUGUGGGCAACAGGUCAAUUAAACUACAAACUGACAGCCAGCAACCUGAACAAGCUACACCACACAUUGGAGGAUCUCAACUACUGUAUAUGCAAUGGCCUUUCUGUCUACAUCACAACCUGAUGUGAGGAGGAUUUCACUGAAUCAAGAACUCAAGUGGGGGAGGAAGAUUUUCAAGAUGCACUGCUUGAGGAGAUUAACAUCAAUUCUGCAAGGAUUUUCUGAACAGUGAAACAUCAUCAACCCAUGGUGCAAGAUUCUACGACAAGCUGGAGGAGACUGACAAUGCAGCAAUGACUCUGAACAUUUUGGGCACGAAUUAAACCCAAACUCAUUGUUGGCUUUGAAGUGCAGCUCUAAUGCUACAUCUCUGAACAGUGAAAUGCUAUCAACCCAUGGUGCAAGAUUCUACGACAAGCUGGAGGAUACCAACAUUGCAGCAAUGACUCUGAACAAUUUGGGCACGAAUUAAACCCAAACUCACUGUUGGCUUUGAGAUGCAGCUCUAAUGCUACAUCUCAAAGCCUGGAUUAGAAACAGAUUUCCUGAAGACUCUUUGAACUCUAGAGAUACAAAUGAGAUGAGAAGGAUGCAUCAAUUCUGCAAAGACACUAUGUGUAUGCAAGGCUAGAGACAUUUUGUGAGCCCACCUUCAACGUGCACUUUUGUGAACCACAAUGUGAUCAACCUACAAGGAGCAGAUCGUUUGUACAGUAUCUAGAAACUAGCAAUGUCAAUGUCCAAUAGUAACAAUAGUUACAGUGGGCAUUGCACAACACUUCCAAUGGCAGUUUGAUUAUCGUCACCGUUUUC